CGACUACACAACAUGCGAGUUGGUAGAAAUAAAACAAUUUUUCCCCCAAUCUGAGACACGAGAAAAAAUGACUUUUUUAAUGGAAAAAGCACUCAGCACGCAGGGUCGCAGGAUCAACCAGAUGCACGAAAAGCAUGCAUGGUGAACUCCGAGAGGAGAAAACAAAAAAAGAAGGAAAAAAUCACGGAAUUUUUUCCUCUCUUUUUCCCCUUCCCAUCUAUUUUGGUACUUUUAAAAUACAACUCACUAUCAGUCGGGAUAAAAUUUUGACGGCAAAAAGAUCAAACCUCUAGCCGUGCGUAACUAGCGGGAAUGCGACUGAAAUUAUUUUCCUCGCGAUUCGGCCUUACUUAACACCUGAGAGCAACGUUCGUUGUGUUAUUGAACUUGUUCCUCACGGUUUCCGUACAUUUAACUGUAAAAAUUAGUGUUGCUCAAAAGUGCCAUAUUUCAUAAAUGAAACAUACUCAUAAUGCUCAUUUUUGUGUUUUGUAUAUACUUAUCUUCAUUUUGUGCUGUGAUGGUGUGGAAAUGAGCUUAAAUACUACUAGUUUGGUUGUGCUGACCCAAAAGGAUACCUGUUCGCCGUCUCAAGAUAUGGAGUUAAUGCCGCGUGCACUAUCAGCUGAACAAAGGCGGCAGUUUCUUCAGAGAAAUAAGCUCAAGGCUAAGCCUAACGCAUAUCCAGUCAUGGGUGCUCUUCGCAACGUUCAACGUACAACUAUCUAUACGAGAAAUCAGAUGCACUACAGGCCUGAGUUACGAAAAUAUCCUAAAGGUGCGGUGUAUACGAGGUACAGGAUGCCACCAAUGUAUGUUACGUUUAAGUGUCCACCCAAAGUUGGGCUGCUGCUUUGCAGGGCAAGUUGCGAAAGACGGAGCAAAUUCACGAUAGGAUCCUGCGAUAAUGGCUAUUGCACGUGCCUACUCCUCAAGCCGGGAUUCCGUGGCAAAAGUGUAUUCGUCAGGAGAGCCAAUUGUUAUUUGAAAGCAGACAGAGUAAAAUGCACCAAGUUCUGCGUUUACCAAUUCGGAAGAAGUGCUCAAGGAUUGUGUAAUGCAGACAGGUGUAGAUGUUUCACGAACCCAAAGAUCUCUCCGAAGAACCAACUUACCGCUUGUGAACAAGCGAGAAGACGACUGGCGUUUUUGGAGGCACGCUUGCGGGCUAUCAUGCGGAAACAUCCAUCCUCCCGGACACUAGAGGAGAGACGGUUCCUCAAAGAGGUAUCCAAAAACCCGCGAGUUAUCCAACGUAUCAACUCGUCACGCAGACCACGUAAGCCUAGAGGAGCGGCGUCUAGGCGAGCGCCAUCUCCCGGGUCUACAAAUUUUCAAUCAAUCCAAAGAAAGCUCCAAACGCAAGGAAUUCAGCCAAAAAGUCUCCAGCAAAGGCUACUAAGUUUGUAACGGACCCUAAAGGUCCCCAAUUCCCACGGAACAAGGCUCAAUCAGCACAAAAAAGGGUUGCUGUGAACCAGAGGAGGAGUGGACAAAGCCCUGGAAAGGGUAUAACUGGUGCAAGGCAACCUCCAA
rnacentral:lncRNA from 1 species